AUUGAACGCUGGCGGCAGGCCUAACACAUGCAAGUCGAGCGGAUGAGGAGAGCUUGCUCUCUGAUUUAGCGGCGGACGGGUGAGUAAUGCCUAGGAAUCUGCCUGGUAGUGGGGGAUAACGUCCGGAAACGGGCGCUAAUACCGCAUACGUCCUACGGGAGAAAGCAGGGGACCUUCGGGCCUUGCGCUAUCAGAUGAGCCUAGGUCGGAUUAGCUAGUUGGUGAGGUAAUGGCUCACCAAGGCUACGAUCCGUAACUGGGCUGAGAGGAUGAUCAGUCACACUGGAACUGAGACACGGUCCAGACUCCUACGGGAGGCAGCAGUGGGGAAUAUUGGACAAUGGGCGAAAGCCUGAUCCAGACAUGCCGCGUGUGUGAAGAAGGUCUUCGGAUUGUAAAGCACUUUAAGUUGGGAGGAAGGGCAGUAGGUUAAUACCUUGCUGUUUUGACGUUACCGACAGAAUAAGCACCGGCUAACUUCGUGCCAGCCGCCGCGGUAAUAC
rnacentral:rRNA from 1 species